AUACGGAGGAUCCGAGCGUUAUCCGGAUUUAUUGGGUUUAAAGGGUGCUCAGGCGGGCGAUUAAGUCGGCGGUGAAAUUUUGCGGCUCAGCCGUAAAAGGGCCUUCGAAACUGGGAGACUUGAGUGUGGAUGAGGUAGGCGGAAUUUGUGGUGUAGCGGUGAAAUGCAUAGAUAUCACGAGGAACUCCGAUCGCGCAGGCAGGUUACCAGGCCAUAACUGACGCUCAAGCACGAAGGAGUGGGGAUCAAACAGUAUUAGAUACCCUGGUAGUCCGCGCAGUAAACGAUGAUUACUGGGUGUGUGCGAUACAAUGUAAGCGGCUGAGCGAAAGCGUUAAGUAAUCCACCUGGGGAGUACGUUCGCAAGAAUGAAACUCUAAGGAAUUGACGGGG
rnacentral:rRNA from 1 species